CCUACGGGUGGCAGCAGUGGGGAAUAUUGCGCAAUGGGCGAAAGCCUGACGCAGCGACGUCGCGUGAGGGAUGAAGGUCCUCGGAUCGUAAACCUCUGUCAGCAGGGAAGAACGGUCACUGUGCUAAUCAGCAGUGAAUUGACGGUACCUGCAAAGGAAGCACCGGCUAACUCCGUGCCAGCAGCGGCGGUAAUACGGAGGGUGCGUGCGUUGAUCGGAAUUAGUUGGCGUAAAGCGCACGUAGGCGGUAUGUCAAGUCAAGGGGGAAAUCACCGCGCUCAAAGUGGGCACUGCCUGUGAAACUGGAGAACUUGAGUGUGUGAGAGGAUAGCGGAAUGCGAGGUGUAGGGGUGAAAUGCGUAGAUAUCUGGAGGAACAGCGGUGGCGAAGGCGACUAACUGGCACAUAACUGACGCUGAGGAGCGAAAGCGUGGGUAGCAAACAGGAUUAGAUACCCGGGUAGUC
rnacentral:rRNA from 1 species